GACGAACCGUGCGAACGUUGUUCGGAAUCACUGGGCUUAAAGGGCGCGUAGGCGGGUGUGCAAGUCCGUGGUGAAAGCCUCCAGCUUAACUGGAGAAGUGCCAUGGAUACUGCACAUCUUGAGGAGGGUAGGGGCAUCUGGAACGGUCGGUGGAGCGGUGAAAUGCGUUGAUAUCGACCGGAACUCCGGUGGCGAAGGCGAGGUGCUGGACCCUUUCUGACGCUGAGGCGCGAAAGCCAGGGGAGCAAACGGG
rnacentral:rRNA from 1 species